rnacentral:rRNA from 1 species
UUGCCUACGGGGGGCAGCAGUGAGGAAUUUUGCGCAAUGGGGGAAACCCUGACGCAGCAACGCCGCGUGAGUGAAGAAGGCCUUCGGGUCGUAAAGCUCUGUCAAGUGGGAAAAAAUCUUCAUCGUUAACAGCGCUGAAGAGUGAUGGUACCACUAAAGGAAGCACCGGCUAACUCCGUGCCAGCAGCCGCGGUAAUACGGAGGGUGCUAGCGUUGUUCGGAAUUACUGGGCGUAAAGAGCGUGUAGGCGGUUUGGGAAGUCAGGCGUGAAAGCCCAGGGCUCAACCCUGGAAGUGCGCUUGAAACUGCCAUGCUUGAGUAUGGGAGAGGAGAGUGGAAUUCCCAGUGUAGAGGUGAAAUUCGUAGAUAUUGGGAGGAACACCCGUGGCGAAGGCGACUCUCUGGACCAAUACUGACGCUGAGACGCGAAAGCGUGGGGAGCAAACAGGAUUAGAUACCCUUGUAGUCGU